CCUACGGGGGGCAGCAGUGGGGGAUAUUGGACAAUGGGGGGAACCCUGAUCCAGCGACGUAGCGUGAGUGAAGAAGUAUCUCGGUAUGUAAAGCCCUGUCAGCCGGGAAGCAAGAAAUGACGGUACUUGACCAAGAAGCCUCGGCUAACUACGUGCCAGCAGCCGCGGUAAUUCGUAGGGGGCAAGCGUUAACCGGAAUUACUGGGUGUAAAGGGUGCGUAGACGGUUAAGUAAGUCUGGAGUGAAAGGCCGGGGCACAACCCCGGGACUGCUGUGGAACCUGUUGAACUUGAGUGCAGGAGAGGUAAGCGGAAUGCCUGGUGUAGCGGUGAAAUGCGUAGAUAUUAGGAAGAACACCAGUGGCGAAGGCGGCUUACUGGAGUGUAACUGACGUUGAGGCUCGAAAGCGUGGGGAGCGAACAGGAUUAGAUACCCGUGUAGUC
rnacentral:rRNA from 1 species